CUCUCUUGUAGUUUCCCCUCCUCCCCUUACAGGUGACCUCUCUCUUGUAGUUUCCCCUCCUCCCCUUACAGGUGGGCUCAUUAUGUCGUACGCAUGUGCCUUAAGGUGUGCGAUGCAGGCACCUCACUAGCAUCGCUCAUGAGAGGCUCUUAUGUUUGGUAUUUGUUUAUACGUGACUCAACGAAGAAUCAAGAGUCAUCGGUCGUGCAAUAGUGAUCAUGUGUUGCAGCAAAGGGCGUGCAUGUAUGCUCACGAAGAUUUUAGUAGCGCACGUGAUUGUAUAGAUGUGACAAUUGGGUCGAUUACGGCGUUUUAAAUUACGAAUCUUAUUUGAUUCGUUCGGAUGUGAUUGUGAUCGGGAAGUAAUGGGCAAUCGUUUAAUUGAUUAUUGACUAUUGUAAUUGACAUAUAUUAUUAAUUGCUGGUCGAUUUUGCUCUGCAUCGUGACUCUGCCUUCUUGUUUUAUUUCUGUGUCUCGAUUAAUUUAUCAUGUUACUACAGCAGCAGCAGCCCUGCCGUCUAGAAUUUUGUCUGUUGUCGUAGUUUUUAAUGCCUUUUACGUGUGACAAUAGUUUUAACGUUUCAACGUGUUAUGUAAACCGUUUGCAAUUUUUUUAGAAUGUGCCGCGUUUCACAUUUACAGAGAAGUUAGACGCGCAUCUAUCGUAGGUCGCAUACAAAAUAUUUUACGUAAAGAGUAUGCGAUACAAAUGUGCAGAGUUUAAAUUCCUAUAAAUAAAUAUCAGGUAUUGUGGCUUUCAAAUCAAA